GAAAUACCACCCUUGUAUGUUUGAUGUUCUAACUUAGACCCGUUAUCCGGGUUGAGGACAGUGCCUGGUGGGUAGUUUGACUGGGGCGGUCUCCUCCCAAAGAGUAACGGAGGAGCACGAAGGUGGGCUAAUCACGGUUGGACAUCGUGAGGUUAGUGCAAUGGCAUAAGCCCGCUUAACUGCGAGAAUGACGGUUCGAGCAGGUGCGAAAGCAGGUCAUAGUGAUCCGGUGGUUCUGUAUGGAAGGGCCAUCGCUCAACGGAUAAAAGGUACUCCGGGGAUAACAGGCUGAUACCGCCCAAGAGUUCAUAUCGACGGCGGUGUUUGGCACCUCGAUGUCGGCUCAUCACAUCCUGGGGCUGAAGUCGGUCCCAAGGGUAUGGCUGUUCGCCAUUUAAAGUGGUACGCGAGCUGGGUUUAGAACGUCGUGAGACAGUUCGGUCCCUAUCUGCCGUGGGCGUUGGAAGAUUGAAGGGGGCUGCUCCUAGUACGAGAGGACCGGAGUGGACGAACCUCUGGUGUUCGGGUUGUGUCGCCAGACGCAUUGCCCGGUAGCUAAGUUCGGAAUUGAUAAGCGCUGAAAGCAUCUAAGCGCGAAGCGAGCC
rnacentral:rRNA from 1 species